AUUGAACGCUGGCGGCUUGCCUUACACAUGCAAGUCGAACGGCAGCAUGGAGAGCUUGCUCUCUGAUGGCGAGUGGCGAACGGGUGAGUAAUGCAUCGGAACGUACCGUGUAAUGGGGGAUAACGUAGCGAAAGUUACGCUAAUACCGCAUACGACCUGAGGGUGAAAGCAGGGGAUCGCAAGACUUUGCGUUAUACGAGCGGCCGAUGGCAGAUUAGCUAGUUGGUGAGGUAAAGGCUCACCAAGGCGACGAUCUGUAGCGGGUCUGAGAGGAUGAUCCGACACACUGGGACUGAGACACGGCCCAGACUCCUACGGGAGGCAGCAGUGGGGAAUUUUGGACAAUGGGGGCAACCCUGAUCCAGCCAUGCCGCGUGAGUGAAGAAGGCCUUCGGGUUGUAAAGCUCUUUCGGCCGGGAAGAAAUCGCACAGGCUAAUACUCUGUGUGGAUGACGGUACCGGCAUAAGAAGCACCGGCUAACUACGUGCCAGCCGCCGCGGUAA
rnacentral:rRNA from 1 species